rnacentral:pre_miRNA from 1 species
GGAGCCCAGGAUCCUGGGCUGUGUCCCCCGGUGCCCUGGGCUUCCGGGUCUGCGCUGCUGGAAUCGGGCUCCCGGGGCAGGGCUCC